rnacentral:tRNA from 1 species
GCUGAGAUAGUUUAUAAUAAAACGCAGCCCUGAAGAGGCUUUAAAGGAAGACCUCCUCUCAACA